GACACAUAGCAUGCUAUUCAGAAUUUUUUCCAAGACAAGAAUUUGUGUGCAAGGCUGUGGCCGUCCAUGACUUUUAGACUGCUCCCAUGAGUCAGUUCAACCAGGACAAGGGACUGAGGGAGUACACACCCUCAUCCGGGUUCUUUCAUUUAGAAGUUAGCCUGAUACCGACACUCACAACAAUCUAGCCAGCAGGCUAACGGCAAAUUAUGAAAAUAUUCGUUAUUUAAAUCGAAGAAAGCCUAAUAUUGACCAAGUGCGGGUAAGUGUUAGCUAAUUUGCACAGCUACAUGUGAUUUAUAGGGACGGUAUCAUCGUCAGCCCAAGCCGUAAGUUGCUGACAGCAAAGACAAUAGAGCUAAUGUCUGCUAACUCACGUUAGCUUAGCUAAAAUCGAGGUGAUCACGCGUGUUAGGAAAUCUAAACAAGUAACGUUAACUUGCGGUUGCCAGCCAAGGAUUAUCUAGAGAACACAUCUAUUCCUUAAUUUGUCAUGUGUCAAUGCAGGGGUAUUUUAACAAAAAUCUGUAAUUGUAUUAUUUUGAAAUGUAGCUAUAGUAAUCUAACUGCCAUCUAGCAAAGCUAACAAUGUGAAGGUAAUGUUGGACUUAGCCAUCAACUCUCAUCACAGGAUAUUCUGUUAAUGCCGUGCUAGCUAGCAUCGUAGUAAUCCUAGUUGCGAGGCUAUCGCGAUGAUGAGAACCGCCAUUUUUCUCCACUAAGCGAGGGAAAUUUAAUCAAUUUAGCUACAGGUCUCAACUGACAAAGACAGGAACUGUGUCCUAUACGUGGGGGAGCAUAUGGAUGUCAAAAGAAAGGCAGCGCCCUGAGAGUUGAUUUGGAUUGCUUUCUACGUUGGGAUAUUCCUGGUUCUGCCAAGAUGAAGGCUGUUGUUCUCUUCGUUUGAUUUUUUUCACAGGUUUGAGGAAGACUGGACAUUUUCACAGUGGGAUGAGGUAGUAGGUUGUAUAGUUUUAGGGUCAUACCCACACUGGGAGAUAACUAUACAGCCUUCUGUCUUUCCCAAAGUGAUGAGCAGGUCAUCGGAGUCACAUCGCAUCACCUAUUCAGAUUCAGAUACGACACAGUAAUGCAACGUCUCGGUUUUCUUCCCUCGGUGUCGUCCUAGGGAUGUGAUACCUGAGGCGUGCGCCAUGGCAGUGUGAGGUAGUAGAUUGUAUAGUUGUGGGGUAGUGAUUUUAUCCUGAGCAGAAGAUAACUAUACACUCUAUUGCCUUCCCUGACGGGCAGCAGAGCAUCUGUUGUGGGGAAAUCAAGAGGUAAGGAAUAAAUUCAUUUUUUUUUUUUUUUUUGUCUUUCAAUCAGUGUUUGGAUCAUUCCCCUAUAGCACUGGAUCAGUCUCAGGCCUCGCGCCCGGUAUUCGAUGAGGUCAUUGUGCUGAGUGCCCCUGUGGCAGGGCUUGUGAUUGGCUGAUCCAGAGGAAAUAUAUGGAGUAAGAUCAUGAUUGUGGCAGCCAUUUUGACAGGCAAAGAAUGUACUCUCAUUUGCCCUUCCUGAUUGCUUUGUGGUGGUAGCAGGGAAUGUCAUGAUGUAUCACUGUACUGUUGUUCUAACAGUAACCUUAUGGGAGAAGACAUUUUUGGUUGUACCAUGUUUGGUUUUAAUAAUUUUUUUGAUAGAGGAAAAUGAACAUUGGAUAUUUUUUUUAACCUUGCUUUAAAAAAGAAAAUCUCUGGCUUGAUGUAAAUCAAUUUGAAUGGGCGUUAUUACUGAUAAACAUCAUUUCAUUUUCUGUGAAUUGCAUUCCAAAAAUCUGUACCUCUUGACCCAAAUAAAAUAUGAAAAUGGAUUUCAGUUUUGUCUUGUAUGUGUCUUUAAUGUUAUAUAGAAGUGCUAACAGUCUCACUAACUUGAUACACUCCAUAAUAGUUCAUUAACUGGAAAUUGAGAAACUGAUAUGACUUAAACCUUUGAAAAGUUGCAGCACACUGCACUAUAAUGUGCAACCAAUUUUGCAUUUGCGCACACUAUAAGUGUGAUCCUGAGUUGGUGAAUUAAGUUAUGCCAACCUAGGCCAUUUGGUAGCAUCCAGGAAGAACAUGGUAUGGCAGGGGUAUUUUAGCCAGCUGGGUACAUAUUUUAAAGGUUACGCAGAAGACAAAGUUGAACAAAAUCGAACCCAACUGAGAUAUUACAUCUUCUUAAGUUUAUCUUAUCUCAAACCUAACAAAGUGUGUGAUCUUUGGAGACAAACGUACCCAGCAACUUUCCAAUAAUGAGCCUAUUCCAGUACAUGUAAACUUGUACACCCAACUGACAGUAGUGAAAAGAAAAUGUUCUGUUCUGGGAAGAGAAAGUGGCAAACUGCAGUUUGUUAAAGGCAUUUUUUUCUCUUUUGCCCAGGGUCACAGCUUUUAAAUGUAGUAUUGCUUGAUACAUGCAGGUUUUUUUUGUAAAAAAAAAAAUCAGUUGCAUCAGCCAGUUUAUGAUGUGCUCAGAAAGCGAAUGACAACAUGUGAAGGUUGGAUCACUGAAAAGUAGGUGGCUGGGGUUUCAUCCGGAAGGGAAUGAAAACCGCUUAACCUUGUGAAAUAGGGCAUUAAUGCACCC
ensembl:lncRNA